UACGUAGGGAGCAAGCGUUUGUCCGGAAUCAUUGGGCGUAAAGCGCGCGUAGGCGGCCCUGUAAGUCCGUUGUGAAAGUCAAAGGCUCAACCUUUGAAAGCCGAUGGAUACUGCAGGGCUAGAGUCCGGAAGAGGCGAAGUGGAAUUCCUGGUGUAGCGGUGGAAUGCGCAGAUAUCAGGAGGAACACCAAUAGCGAAGGCAGCUCGCUGGGACGGUACUGACGCUAAGGGCGCGAAAGCGUGGGGAGCGAACAGG
rnacentral:rRNA from 1 species